rnacentral:snoRNA from 1 species
AAAUUGCAUUAUAAAUAAACAUAGAAGGAAUUUCCUGCAUAUAGUUACGCAGUUGCCUGUAAGCUUCUGAAG